rnacentral:rRNA from 1 species
GAUGAACGCUAGCGGCAGGCCUAACACAUGCAAGUCGAGGGGUAACAUAGAGUGCUUGCACUCUGAUGACGACCGGCGCACGGGUGCGCAACGCGUAUAGAAUCUACCCUUUACUGGGGGAUAGCCCAGAGAAAUUUGGAUUAAUACCCCAUAGUAUACUAUUAUGGCAUCAUAAAAGUAUUAAAGGUUACGGUAAAGGAUGACUAUGCGUCCCAUUAGCUAGAUGGUAAGGUAACGGCUUACCAUGGCAACGAUGGGUAGGGGCCCUGAGAGGGGGAUCCCCCACACUGGUACUGAGACACGGACCAG